UACAUAGGGUGCUAGCGUUGCUCGGAAUAACUGGGCGUAAAGCACAUGUAGGAGGACAUAAAAGUUAAAAGUGCAAUCCCCGAGCUCAACUCGGGAACUGCUUUUAAUACUAUAUGUCUGGAGGAAGAUAGAGAAUGAUGGAAUUCUUGGUGGAGGGGUUAAAUCCGUAGAUAUCAAGAGGAACACCGAAAGCGAAAGCAGUCAUUUGGGUCUUUCCUGACUCUGAGAUGUGAAGGCGUGGGGAGCAAAC
rnacentral:rRNA from 1 species